CUUCCCCUCCCUUACUCCAGUCACUCUGUACUCAGUGGUCUGGCAUUGACAGGGGAUACAGCACCGUGGCCCUCUCAUCUAGGACUAUUCUCCUAUAUGAGGCUUGUGAGAGAGCUGACAAU
rnacentral:snoRNA from 1 species